AGCUCAGGAAACUCUCUGGUGGAGACUUGGGCUUAUCCGAUACACUGCUGUAGCUCUCAACAACGCAGUUGUCAAAUAUAUGGGUGGUUUUGGGAUCAGGUCCGUGAGAUAUCACGCAUGUAUAAUCCUCAGACAGCUCCAUUUCCUUGACAGGAAGACAUCCAGUGAAGACCCGAGGAGAAUCCUUGAUAUGGAUACCAGAAUUGGGAGAGCCAAAUGCUGAUGAUAAAUGUGAAUUCCUGCUCUUGAUUCCAAAAUCGGUUGGAGAUAUUGGAGU
rnacentral:lncRNA from 1 species